GUAGUUGGUAUGGAUCAGGCUUCAAAUAAUUUUUUCUUUGAUUAAGUACUGGCUUAAUUUCUGAAUUAUCCAAUGUCAUAGAUGAAGGCAUUUGUCUCUCAUUUUGAACCGAGGCAUUUGCCAAUGCAGUAGCUUUUUUAUUAUUUUCCUCUAAAAGCAUUGCCUGAUGCCUCAUUUGCAAAGCCAGAAGUUUAUUGGCCGUGACCGUGGCAUUUUCCUCCCUGUCGAGUCUUCUGGCUUGUCUUUUUUGGAUAGUUUGGCGUUUCAAUGACGGCGCUCCUCCAUCAAAAACAAAUACAGGUUUAAUCCCAAAAAAUAAUAGUUUGCAUAUCCUUCUAAAAAAUCCUACAACAUGACUGCUUUUCAGCUGGUUUCCUUCUUUGUCACGUACGGCCUUUAAGAAUUGAUAAAUCCAAAUUGAAGCGUCAAUUGCCAACCGUUUGUUAACAAGUGUUUCUAGCUUGACA